AACCAUGCAAGUCGAACGCUCACCUUCGGGUGGGAGUGGCAGACGGGUGAGUAACACGUGGGAACGUACCCUUUGGUUCGGGACAACUCUGGGAAACUGGAGCUAAUACCGGAUACGCCCUUUUGGGGAAAGGUUUACUGCCGAAGGAUCGGCCCGCGUCUGAUUAGCUAGUUGGUGGGGUAACGGCCUACCAAGGCGACGAUCAGUAGCUGGUCUGAGAGGAUGAUCAGCCACACUGGGACUGAGACUCGGCCCAGACUCCUACGGGAGGCAGCAGUGGGGAAUAUUGGACAAUGGGCGCAAGCCUGAUCCAGCCAUGCCGCGUGAGUGAUGAAGGCCUUAGGGUUGUAAAGCUCUUUUAUCCGGGACGAUAAUGACGGUACCGGAGGAAUAAGCCCCGGCUAACUUUGUGCCAGCAGCCGCGGUAAUACGAAGGGGGCUAGCGUUGCUCGGAAUCACUGGGCGUAAAGGGCGCGUAGGCGGCGUUUUAAGUCGGGGGUGAAAGCCUGUGGCUCAACCACAGAAUGGCCUUCGAUACUGGGACGCUUGAGUCUGGUAGAGGUUGGUGGAACUGCGAGUGUAGAGGUGAAAUUCGUAGGUAUUCGCAAGAACACCGGUGGCGAAGGCGGCCAACUGGACCGGCACUGACGCUGAGGCGCGAAAGCGUGGGGAGCAAACAGGAUUAGAUACCCUGGUAGUCCACGCUGUAAACGAUGAAUGCUAGCUGUUGGGAUGCAUGCAUCUCAG
rnacentral:rRNA from 1 species